rnacentral:rRNA from 1 species
GAUGAACGCUGACAGAAUGCUUAACACAUGCAAGUCUUUGGCGAAUCUGUGCUUGCACAGGCUAGCCAAGGCGGACGGGUGAGUAACGCGUAAAGAACUUGCCCCGCAGACAGGGAUAACAGACGGAAACGACUGAUAACACCUGAUACAGUUGCCGGCACGCAUGUGCCUGGCAAUGAAAAGAGAUGCUGCAGGAGAGCUUUGCGUCCUAUUAGCUUGUUGGUGAGGUGACGGCUCACCAAGGCGAUGAUAGGUAGCCGGCCUGAGAGGGUGAACGGCCACAAGGGGACUGAGAUACGGCCCUUACUCCUACGGGAGGCGGCAGUGGGGAAUAUUGGACAAUGGGGGCAACCCUGAUCCAGCAAUUCUGUGUGCACGAAGAAGGUUUUCGGAUUGUAAAGUGCUUUCAGCAGGGAAGAAGAAAGUGACGGUACCUGCAGAAGAAGCGACGGCUAAAUACGUG